rnacentral:rRNA from 1 species
ACUCCGAAACUGCAUUCGAUACUGCCGUGCUUGAGGACUGGAGAGGAGACUGGAAUUUACGGUGUAGCGGUGAAAUGCGUAGAUAUCGUAAGGAAGACCAGUGGCGAAGGCGGGUCUCUGGACAGUUCCUGACGCUGAGGCACGAAGGCCAGGGGAGCAAACGGGAUUAGAUACCCCGGUAGUCCUGGCAGUAAACGGUGCACGUUUGGUGUGGGAGGAUUCGACCCCUUCUGCGCCGGAGCUAACGCGUUAAACGUGCCGCCUGGGGAGUACGGUCGCAAGAUUAAAACUCAAAGAAAUUGACGGGGGCCCGCACAAGCGGUGGAGUAUGUGGCUCAAUUCGAUGCAACGCGAAGAACCUUACCAGGCCUUGACAUGCAUCUCUAAGCUGGUGAAAGCCAGUGAGUCCC